AGUUUCUUGUAUUUUAAUAAGAAAUGUUUUUUGCUCAAUGUUUUUAAAUAGCCGCGGUAAUUUGACUGUGCAAAGGUAGCAUAAUCAUUUGCCUUGUAAUUGAGGGCUUGUAUGAAUGGAAUGACGAGAAUUAAUCUGUCUUUUUAAAAAAAUUAGAAUUUGUUUUUGAUGUGAAGAAACAUUAAUUUGAAAAUUGGACAAGAAGACCCUUUUGAUCUUUAUUUUAUGAUAAUUUUUUUUUUAAUAAAAUUUGGUUGGGGCGACCUAGGAAAAUGUUAUCUUCCUUUUUGAUUAUGAUCCAUAUUUUAUGAUAUUUAGAUUAAGUUACCAAAGGGAUAACAGCGUAAUUUUUUUUGUGAGUUCUUAUUAAAAAAAAAGAUUGCGACCUCGAUGUUGACUUAUAAUUCCCAUUUGGUGUAGGAGCUAUUAUGGUGGGUCUGUUCGACCUUUAAAAUUUU
rnacentral:rRNA from 1 species